UCGCCCAGACCCUCCGAAUCGAAACUCCUGCGGCGCGCGCUGCCAGCCCGAGGGCCCCGCCGUCCAGGGGUCCCCUGACAUCUCACACAUGCGGACUGAAGCUGCGAGGAACGGAGAACCCGGCCAGGGUCACGGACGGGAGCGUCCGGACUCGGGUCGUGCCUGGCGCCUCCUUGAUGCCAGGCCCUGGGGAGACCUGUGGCCACAGAACCCAUGUUCUCCCUAGAGGUGGACAGGAGGCCCCUCUCCUACGCAGAAGCUGUCGUUCUUUCUUCUUAAACACCGUUUGCCCCUCCCUCCGCCCACCGAGCCAUCUCUGCCCCUCUCUACAGCAAAGCUUCCGCCAAGCCGGCCCUGCUCCCUGUCUACCUCUCCUGCCACCACCCACUCACACGUUUUAAAUACAAGCCGUCGGUUCUCAGA